rnacentral:rRNA from 1 species
AGAGUUUGAUCCUGGCUCAGAACGAACGCUGGCGGCGUGUUUAAGACAUGCAAGUCGCACGGGACAAGUUGAGUAGUAAUACGAUUCUUGUUUAGUGGCGCACGGGUGAGUAACAUGUGAAUUACAUGCCCUUCAGUGGGGAAUAGCCCAGGGAAACUUGGAUUAAUACCCCAUGGUAUCGCAAGAUUAAAGGUGGCCGCAAGGCUGUCGCUGAAGGAUUGGUUCGCACCCUAUCAGCUUGUUGGUGAGGUAAUGGCUCACCAAGGCUACGACGGGUACCUGGUCUGAGAGGACGAUCAGGCACACUGGAACUGAGACACGGUCCAGACACCUACGGGUGGCAGCAGUCGAGAAUAAUUCACAAUGGGGGCAACCCUGAUGGUGCAACGCCGCGUGGAGGAUGACGGUCUUCGGAUUGUAAACUCCUGUCAUCUGGGAGUAAGACCUGGCGAUGAAUAGUCGACAGGGUUGAUAGUACCAGAAGAGGAAGGGACGGCUAACUUCGUGCCAGCAGCCGCGGUAAUACGAAGGUCCCAAGCGUUGUUCGGAAUCACUGGGCGUAAAGGGAGCGUAGGCGGCGUGGUAAGUCAGAUGUGAAAUCCCGGGGCUCAACCCCGGAACUGCAUCCGAUACUGCCAUGCUAGAGGAUUGGAGAGGUAGCUGGAAUUCUUGGUGUAGCAGUGAAAUGCGUAGAGAUCAAGAGGAACACUCGUGGCGAAAGCGAGCUACUGGACAAUUCCUGACGCUGAGGCCCGAAGGCUAGGGUAGCGAAAGGGAUUAGAUACCCCUGUAGUCCUAGCAGUAAACGGUGCACGCUUGGUGUGAGGGGAAUCGACCCCCCUUGUGCCGGAGCUAACGCGUUAAGCGUGCCGCCUGGGAAGUACGGUCGCAAGACUAAAACUCAAAGAAAUUGACGGGGACCCGCACAAGCGGUGAGUAUGUGGCUUAAUUCGAUGCAACGCGAAGAACCUUACCAAGGCUUGACAUGCAUCUCUAAACACGUGAAAGCGUGUGACCCUUCGGGGAAUUUGCACAGGUGCUGCAUGGCCGUCGUCAGCUCGUGUCGUGAGAUGUUGGGUUAAGUCCCGCAACGAGCGCAACCCUUGUGAUUAGUUGCCAGCACGUCAUGGUGGGAACUCUAGUCAGACUGCCCAGAUCAACUGGGAGGAAGGUGGGGACGACGUCAGGUCAGUAUGGCCCUUACGCCUUGGGCUGCACACGUACUACAAUGCCCAGCACAAUGAGAACCGAGACCGCGAGGUGGAGGAAAUCUGCAAAACUGGGCUCAGUUCGGAUUGGAGGCUGCAACUCGCCUCCAUGAAGUUGGAAUCGCUAGUAAUGGGGCAUCAUCUACGGCCCCGUGAAUACGUUCCCGGGUCUUGUACACACCGCCCGUCACAUCAUGGAAGCCGGUCGCACCCGAAGUGCUCGCACCAACCGCAAGGGGGUAGAGUCCUAAGGUGUAGCUGGUAACUGGGAUGAAGUCGUAACAAGGUA